rnacentral:rRNA from 1 species
GACGAACGCUGGCGGCGUGCUUAACACAUGCAAGUCGAACGAUGAACCCGGAGCUUGCUCCGGUGGAUUAGUGGCGAACGGGUGAGUAACACAUGAGUAACCUGCCCUUGACUCUGGGAUAACUGCGGGAAACUGUGGCUAAUACCGGAUAGGACCACUGCCUGCAUGGGUGGUGGUGGAAAGCUUUUGCGGUGUGGGAUGGGCCCGCGGCCUAUCAGCUUGUUGGUGGGGUGAUGGCCUACCAAGGCGACGACGGGUAGCCGGCCUGAGAGGGUGACCGGCCACACUGGGACUGAGAUACGGCCCAGACUCCUACGGGAGGCAGCAGUGGGGAAUAUUGCACAAUGGGCGCAAGCCUGAUGCAGCGACGCCGCGUGAGGGAUGACGGCCUUCGGGUUGUAAACCUCUUUCAGCACCGACGAAGCGCAAGUGACGGUAGGUGCAGAAGAAGGACCGGCCAACUACGUGCCAGCCGCCGCUGUAA